UAGAAAAAAAAAAAUCCUUCUUCUUGGCUAUUUAAAAUUCCAUAACCAUGGAGAGGCAAUUAAUUCAACAAGAAGGACCCCAUUCCCAUGAAUAAGAGAGACAAACUUAAUUCAAAUUGCAUAGAGUACUAUCUUCUGAGGACCAGUGUGCCAGAGGGCGCAGGGGAAGUGGUCAUUUCCAGUGCUGGUAGGCAUGUAAUUUGAACAGUCACUCGAGCAAUUUGGCAUUGUCUGGAUAAACUAGAAUUCUCACACCCAGCAAUUCUCGGUCUGGAUUACUCAUGUGCCCAAGAGCCCCUGUGUGAGGCCACUUAGUGAAACAGUAAUUAUAAUCCCUAAAGUCCGGAAGGCUUCUAAAAGUCAAGGGACCUGCUUCAGUAUUUAAGUAGAGGACUGUGAUAGAACCGUUUAGAAUGUAAAAUAACAUAGAUUCAGCUUAGCAGGUGAUAUUAGGUCAUGAACUGGAAGACGAGAUGUCAAUCAUUCGCAACAGUCCCCAACUUCCAAGAAUUCAUUUUGCAUCCCACUUCUGGUAACCGAAGCCCAUUCUGGACUCCUGGGGACAUUUAGUCUAAUGCUCAGCCUUCCGCACCUCUCCGCACUGUUGAGCGUCAUGUGCAAACAUGGCCACCUAUGACUCCACGGCAGUGAACGCACAUCCCUCUUUCUCUACAGACAGCACAGAGGUUCACCAAAGCAGAUCCCUCUCUGCGCCCACUCUGGAGGAGCUCUCCAGACAACCUAUCACAUCAUCUUUAACCUCUGCCGAAGUUGAAACACCCACACGGAGAUAGACGAUUGGUCAGCCCGGGAAGAACUGCUCGGCCCUGAAGGGCAUUACCAGCUGGCUGAAGCACCUUGCAAGGAGUAUCAUGGAGCCAUUCUGCGGUCUGCAAACAACAAAGGGUUAAAUUACUGAGAGAACUGAGCAGAAGGGAAAUUUAUGAAGAAGGAUACCACAGACCAGUAAAAGUCUCUAUAG